ensembl:ncRNA lncRNA:CR44537 long non-coding RNA:CR44537
AGCGUUGUUGAUAUAAAACUGUAGAGCAGCAAGUGGGUUGAACACUGGCAGCAAAUCAUGAGUCAAAACAAACACCUUAUUUUGGAAUUCGAGAAAGCCAACAAAAAAUUAUCCGAAAAACAAAACUAUCCCAUUAUAUCCGGCUCGAAGGACCAAAUUCGUGUUUAACCAUACUUAACAGAUACUUGGCAUAAGUAAUACAUCCCAAUUUCCCGCAGUGUUGACCACAUGAUUGGCCGUUUGUCCGACUGCAACUGCACACAUCUGCAUUCCAGACGAGUCAACGGCAAACGGCAGACACCGCCGCAGACUCAGAUGCGGCCUGGAAACUAUAGAUGCAGAUACUACGGCUGGAUCCAAAGCCAGACCUAGACCCAGACCAUGUGGGAUUAUGACGCGCCAGCACUCAAGGAGGGGCGAUGGCGAUGGCAGUGCUCAAGUCAAUUGCAGUUUGUCUGCAGCCGAACGCAGCUGACGAAGAGUUCUUCAGUGCUAGCUUGUGGCCUCUCCACAUCUCCAUUUCCACAUCUCCGGCUCCGUUGUAUUCUUGAUUGGCUGCGAAGACGCCUCCGUUUGUCGUUCGCAGCAGUUCGCGACCCCGAACAUCGCGUGUGACAUUUGCUGCCCCUGCAAUUGCAACUGCAACUUGGCUGCUGCUGAUGCUGCACCACAUUCAUUAGCAGCCACUAAAUGUUCGCUUAAUCAUUUCCCCUGCAAGUCUGUCACAGCUGCUUUCCGGGUGCUGGCUUACACACAGAAAAACAAGGCAUGAGUAUAAAAACAGCACAUUGAUAAGUGCGUGUUAGUCCUAAUGCCUUGGAACUUUGUUAUUUUCGCUGAGUGUAGAACUCAAGUGUCCCCCACUUAGAGUUAAAUUCAAAGUUAGAGUCGAAGGCAGAGAGUCACAGUAGAUGGCACUGUCUACAAAUUGCCAGCGGCGGAGCUUGUUGCAAUCUUAAGUGAAUUUAUGUGGCAAUCUGGUGGCGUCUCCGGCCUCCAAUUUCUUGCUCACAGCCUGCCACAGUCCAUGAUGACUUCAAUUAAUCAGCUUAAUGCGCUGCAAAUGUUUAGGACCGAGAUUGCAGGAUGCGAGAUGUUGAGGAUGAGGAUGCCGUUCUGGGAUUAAUCACAGGCGAUAAACAGGAUUCUAAUUGGGGUUUCAAUUUCCACUAGCUUUAAGUCUAAUUG